AGCGAACGCUAGCGGCAGGCCUAACACAUGCAAGUCGAACGAACUCUUCGGAGUUAGUGGCGGACGGGUGAGUAACACGUGGGAACGUGCCUUUAGGUUCGGAAUAACUCAGGGAAACUGGUGCUAAUACCGAAUGUGCCCUUCGGGGGAAAGAUUUAUCGCCUUUAGAGCGGCCCGCGUCUGAUUAGCUAGUUGGUGAGGUAACGGCUCACCAAGGCGACGAUCAGUAGCUGGUCUGAGAGGAUGGCCAGCCACACUGGGACUGAGACACGGCCCAGACUCCUACGGGAGGCAGCAGUGGGGAAUCUUGCGCAAUGGGCGAAAGCCUGACGCAGCCAUGCCGCGUGAAUGAUGAAGGUCUUAGGAUUGUAAAAUUCUUUCACCGGGGACGAUAAUGACGGUACCCGGAGAAGAAGCCCCGGCUAACUUCGUGCCAGCCGCCGCGGUAA
rnacentral:rRNA from 1 species